ACCUAUGUGGUGUAGUGGUGGCAUGUGUUCCCAGUAUGGAUAAAACGCGGGUUCGAUUUCCGUCUGAGGUG